GUUUAAAUAAUUAUUUAUCGAAUUUUCAUCACUUGUGAGUGCACAUAUAUUUUCAAAUUCCAUCAUAAAAUAUAUUUAAAAAUUUUUGCACUAGAUAACGCCACAAACAAAAUUUCACAUUUUGACAAAACAUAAGUAAACAAUUUUUUCUUAGUUACCAGAAAAAGUUUACUUUGUUUAAAAUUGCACUGAUGUUCACUUAAUUGUAAAAAUUGAAGAUUGCCUGUCAAAUUGCAAACAAUUCUUCGCAAUGGAGAAAAUUGAAGGCAAAAUGUAGACUUUUAAGAAAAUUAUUUAUUUUAAUUAUUACUCCUGUUCUAUAUUUCUAAUACAAAAAAUUUGAACUCCAAAAAUGUCAUCAGAAACAUUGCCAUACUCCGUAGUACAACUCAAAGAUAUAAUGGUUUUAGUUCCGAGCAAAUGGAUUGUAAGUCCACACGAUGAUAAUACAUUUUUCUGUUAUUAUCCACCAAUUAAAGAGGCCACAAAGCUUAAUGAGAUGGUUGACAAAUUAAGGGACCCGCAAAUAACGUGGAAGCAAUAUUCAGUCAUAAAAUAAUUAAAACGGACAGCCACUUUGGAUAGAAGAAAAGAAGAACUUUUGGAGGCGCUUGUUUUAUCCGAAAUUGACAGUGACCUAACAUAAAACUAUUCAAAAAAAAUUUUUAAAUCAAGACAUGAAAGGGCUAAAAGAUAUUCGCCACAAGAAACUGACAAUUUAAAAGAGUCUGAUAAAUCUCAAAGUACUGCUCUUAACGAACUGGAUGAUUCCAUCGCUGGUACGUCUGGAAUGUUUUCGGAUAAUAAACAAAAGUCAACAAUGAUAGAGUAUAAAACACUGGAAACGAAAAUUGAUCUUCCAUUGCCACCAGCAAAUCGAGUUAAACUAGAGAUUGCUCUGAGUAACAAAG